UCAAGUUGUAUUUUUAUAUUUUUUAUUUUACAUUUUCUCUCACAUAGUCCAAUUGAAGUUUUCUUAUUUAAAUAUCUUGGCAUAUGUCGAAAAUUUGCUUUUUCCCCCUUGAAAUCUUAACUACUACAAAUACAAAUACUAAGUGUAUUUCAUUUACUCACUGAAUUGAACUGAUUUUAAAACUGAAUUGCAGAUGUCCCAUGAAGGGGCACAUAUAUGAUUAUGGAAAAUUAUUCUAUUGAAAAUAACAGUCGUUUUUAUAGCGAUAUAAAUCUGAGAAAGCAAAACAAAUUGAGGUUGGAAAAACAGAUGUAUUCAAUAAAAAACUACUGUGUGCACGUGGUGAACUAGUCUUUAGCAAGAUUCGAAUAAUGCAAUCAGUAGGAAUUUGGCUGGCCUGUGGAGUUUUCAAAGGCAUGGAUGUUCGAAUAAUAGCUGGAAAUCUGUUGUGGACACGAGGCUAUUAAGCCUGUCUCCCGCUGCAUUCAAUAUAGUGGUAAAAACUAUUAUUAAAUAACUGAUUUUAUAGCAACUGUUACAAUUAUUUGACCAAAGUAUAAAUUAAAGUUUAUGAUGGAUGCAAAUGUACAUCUUAAAAUGUAUAAUACUAAUUUAGGUUCCUUUCUCAUUUUAAAAUAACCAUUCAGACGACGGAACAGUGAUUACCAAAAUAAGAGCAAAUUAAUAAGGCUGACAGGAAGACUUCUCGAAAGUGUGAAACAUUAAAUGUGCCUUUACUUUUCAAACACAGAAUCCUACAAUUAUCAGAGGUCUCGUCUCUCGCUGAGUGCACACAACUCCCAUUAGCGGUAAUGGUACUGACGCACAUGAAACCCCGAGAAACAAUUAAGAGGCACAAAUGACGGAUCUGGUCCCCAAGCCUCCUGUGUCACAUGUUGACAUCCACCACACCUGGUGAGGAGGAACCGUAACUGAUUAACCCACUGAUGGUCAGUCUUUCUAGCCAUUGCUGCCACUUGCAUCAUUUCCUCCCUUGAAGCCCCGGAAAUCAAACUUGUCAAUUUAUAAAGGGCAAAAUUCUUUGUUAAGUGAAAUGCCUCGUACUUAGGCACAAAUAAAGCUUUUCUGGUGUAGGGAUAGGAACUGAUCCCAUUUUCUCUCCCUAGUUUGUUCCCUGCAUCAGAAUAAUUUCAAACUUGGAAAGCCUUUUAUCACUGAAGCUUUUUAGAAAUGACGGAUUCCCAGGCCCUGGCCUGUGUUUACGGUCUCUGAGUCUGGGAGUUGGCAGUGCAUUUCCUAAAGACCUUCAUGAGAUUGGGGGUUGGGGUGUGAGCAGGGUUUGAGAAGCAGCAGCACUACCCUGUAAUAUCUAACUCAGUAGUUGGCAAAAAGUAAGCACAUAAUACUAUUUGAGGAUAGAACAAUUUUAAGGAGGAUUUAAAAAUAUUUUAAAUUCUAUUAUACAUAAUAUAUACAUAAAUAUGUAUGCUAUAUGUAAUAUAGACAUAUAUAUUCCUGGAAAGUCUCAGGAACAACUUGACUUUACCUUUGACUCAAAGUAAAUAUUCAUAUUAAUAAAAUGCACACAUGGGUAUUCCAGAGCAUUGAGUUUAAAUUAAAAAUAUUAAAAGUCCCUAAGAUUGUGAAUAGACCCAAUGUGAGAUACAUAUAAAACACACACAACGCAUGUGCAUGCACGCAUACAGUUAUUUGGAAAAUGAAAAUUUUUAAGAGCAUAGAAGAGGUGGAAGCCACUCUAGAAUUCAUAUAAUCUAGGCUUUUUUUAAAAAAAAUCUAUUUGGCCAUCAUAAUCAUCUGGGAAGAUUUGUAGAAAGAUCAGUUACGAAAAUCUCCUCCCUAAUUACCGAAUCUACAUUUCAGAGAGGGACCCUGGGAAUCUGUAUGGUUUAAAAUUUUGAAAACACAUCCGAUGACUCGUGGGGAUUCUAACUUUUCUUCCCAAGUGUCCUUGUUCUUUUAGUACUUGCUUGGAUGGUGUGGCUUCCUGCCAUUGAUCAUCUGGUCACUGUCCUUUGAGCAAAUCUGUCUACCUGGUUCUCACUGAAAGCACAGUGGCAGUUGUGUAGCUGAGAGAGGGCAUCUUUCUCCAGGUUCGGACUCAGGUCUACCAGAGCAUCAAGAUCCAGUAAAAGCUGUGCCAGAGUUUAUGGAGUGAAGUCUAUAGCACUUUCCAUACCUCUCCUUGGAUUCUAACUCGGCGGCCUCUGAAGGCUCUGCUCCAGGAUGGCUCUCCCUCUUGUGUGGGCUUUGGCCUUGGGGCUUGCUGACAGGAAUCAUCUGGAGUUUUAGGCAGAAGUCUGCUGCACAGACGGAGCCCUCAUGGAGAACCUGUGCCAGGGCAGUGCAGAAGGAAAA